AUCUUCCGCACUGGGCGAAAGCCUGACGGAGCAACGCCUCGUGAGUGAUGAAGGGCUUCGGCUCGUAAAACUCUGUUAUUAGGCAAUAACAAAUGUGUAAGUAACUGUGCACAUCUUGACGGUACCUAAUCAGAAAGCCACGGCUAACUACGUGCCAGCCGCCGCGGUAAUACGUAGGAGGCAAGCGUUAUCCGGAAUUAUUGGGCGUAAAGCGCGCGUAGGCGGUUUCUUAAGUCUGAUGUGAAAGCCCACGGCUCAACCGUGGAGGGUCAUUGGAAACUGGGAAACUUGAGUGCAGAAGAGGAAAGUGGAAUUCCAUGUGUAGCGGUGAAAUGCGCAGAGAUAUGGAGGAACACCAGUGGCGAAGGCGACUUUCUGGUCUGUAACUGACGCUGAUGUGCGAAAGCGUGGGGAUCAAACA
rnacentral:rRNA from 1 species